rnacentral:rRNA from 1 species
GGAAUAUUGCACAAUGGGCGCAAGCCUGAUGCAGCCAUGCCGCGUGUAUGAAGAAGGCCUUCGGGUUGUAAAGUACUUUCAGCGAGGAGGAAGGCAUAAAGGUUAAUAACCUUUGUGAUUGACGUUACUCGCAGAAGAAGCACCGGCUAACUCCGUGCCAGCAGCCGCGGUAAUACGGGGGGUGCAAGCGUUAAUCGGAAUUACUGGGCGUAAAGCGCACGCAGGCGGUUUGUCAAGUCGGAUGUGAAAUCCCCGGGCUCAACCUGGGAACUGCAUUCGAAACGGGCAAGCUAGAGUCUUGUAGAGGGGGGUAGAAUUCCAGGUGUAGCGGUGAAAUGCGUAGAGAUCUGGAGGAAUACCGGUGGCGAAGGCGGCCCCCUGGACAAAGACUGACGCUCAGGUGCGAAAGCGUGGGGAGCAAACAGGAUUAGAUACCCUUG